rnacentral:rRNA from 1 species
AGAAAUACCAAUACGGGGCUACUGCUCUGUAAUUGGCAUGGGGGCGACCUUCACCCUCGCCCGAGUACCCAUUGGAGGGCAAGUCUGGUGCCAGCAGCCGCGGUAAUUCCAGCUCCAAUAGCGUAUAUUAAACUUGUUGCAGUUAAAAAGCUCGUAGUU